rnacentral:rRNA from 1 species
UACGUAGGUGGCAAGCGUUGUCCGGAUUUACUGGGCGUAAAGGGCUCGUAGGCGGCCAACUAAGUCAGACGUGAAAUCCCCAGGCUUAACCUGGGAACUGCAUCCGAUACUGGAUGGCUUGAAUCCGGGAGAGGGAUGCAGAAUUCCUGGUGUAGCGGUGAAAUGCGCAGAUAUCAGGAGGAACACCAAUGGCGAAGGCAGCUCGCUGGGACGGUACUGACGCUGAGGCGCGAAAGCGUGGGGAGCAAACAGG